rnacentral:rRNA from 1 species
GAUGAACGCUGGCGGCGUGCCUAAUACAUGCAAGUCGAGCGAACUUUUGGGAGCUUUCUCCCUAUAGUUAUCGCCGGACGCGUGAGUAACACGCGUGUAACCUCUCUGUAUGACUCUGAUAACUUCUGGAAACCGGAGCUCUUACCCGAUAUCAUUUAUUGCCCCAUGUCCUUCAAUUAAAAGGUGCCUUUUAGCUACCACUUACAGAUGGACCCGCGGCGCAUUAGCUAGUUGGUGAGGUAACGGCUAACCAAGGCGACGAUGCGUAGCCGACCUGAGAGGGUGAUCGGCCACAACGGGACUGAGAAACGGGCCAGAAUCCUACGGGAGGCAGCAAUAAGGAAACUUCCGCAAUGGAGGAAAAUCUGACGGAGGAACGCCGGGUGAGCGAAGAAGGCCUUCGGGACGUAAAGAUCUGGUGAUAGGGAAGAACAAGUAGCGUACGAAAAGAGCGGCACCUUGACGGUACCUAACCAGAAAGCCACGGCUAACUACGUG